rnacentral:rRNA from 1 species
UGGGGAAUUUUGGACAAUGGGCGAAAGCCUGAUCCAGCAAUGCCGCGUGUGUGAAGAAGGCCUUCGGGUUGUAAAGCACUUUUGUCCGGAAAGAAAUCCUUGGCUCUAAUACAGUCGGGGGAUGACGGUACCGGAAGAAUAAGCACCGGCUAACUACGUGCCAGCAGCCGCGGUAAUACGUAGGGUGCAAGCGUUAAUCGGAAUUACUGGGCGUAAAGCGUGCGCAGGCGGUUUGCUAAGACCGAUGUGAAAUCCCCGGGCUCAACCUGGGAACUGCAUUGGUGACUGGCAGGCUAGAGUAUGGCAGAGGGGGGUAGAAUUCCACAUGUAGCAGUGAAAUGCGUAGAGAUGUGGAGGAAUACCGAUGGCGAAGGCAGCCCCCUGGGCCAAUACUGACGCUCAUGCACGAAAGCGUGGGGAGCAAACAGGAUUAGAUACCCUGGUAGUCCACGCCAUAAACGAUGUCAACUAGUUGUUGGGGAUUCAUUUCCUUAGUAACGUAGCUAACGCGUGAAGUUGACCGCCUGGGGAGUACGGUCGCAAGAUUAAAACUUAAA